GAGCGUUCCGCCCAGGGGGAAGCCAAGCGCGUAAGCCGCGGUGGACAGGGCGGAAGUGAGAAUGUCAGCUUGAGUAACGAAAACACUGGUGAGAAUCCAGUGCCCCGAAAACUUAAGGGUUCCUGCGCAAGGCUCGUCCGCGCAGGGUCAGUCAGGACCUAAGGUGAGGCCGAACGGCGUAAUCGAUGGCAAGAAGGUUUAUAUUCCUUCACUAGUCUAGGCUUAGUCCUGAGGGA
rnacentral:rRNA from 1 species